AUGGCGACCGGCGCACGGGUGAGUAACACGUAUCCAACCUGCCGAUGACUCGGGGAUAGCCUUUCGAAAGAAAGAUUAAUACCCGAUGGCAUAGUUCUUCCGCAUGGUAGAACUAUUAAAGAAUUUCGGUCAUCGAUGGGGAUGCGUUCCAUUAGGUUGUUGGCGGGGUAACGGCCCACCAAGCCUUUGAUGGAUAGGGGUUCUGAGAGGAAGGUCCCCCACAUUGGAACUGAGACACGGUCCAA
rnacentral:rRNA from 1 species